rnacentral:lncRNA from 1 species
UGAUGACUAACUAUCGCAUUCUUCCAUUCAGCGAAAAUUGAGGUAAUGGGAACAAUUUUUCUGGAGAGAUUUAAUGGAAACUGCCAGAGUUCUCGGUUAGUAAAUUAAAAGUUACGACACGUACGGAAAUAUGCUGGGGUCCGUUUGCGCGUGCGCGCAGAGAGGGGUGCAACGCGGCCCGCCAAUUUUUGAAAAUGGCGCGUAAAGCAAGCGCGGGUUCCCGCGCGGGAGGGGGGGGGGGGGUGUCCUCCCUUACCAGGGUGUCUAGUUUUUUUCAUUUUGGGAAAUCCUGAUUUUUCCUGAUUUCAUAAUUUUUCCAGAUCCUGAUUUUUGUGAAUUUGAAUUUUUCCGAAUGUCACUUCACAUAAAUAGCUCGAUAAGAAAAUCCGAUCGGACGGCCGACUUUUCUCAAAUCCUGAUUUUACGACCGAUUUUUCCUUAAAUCCUGAUCGAACUCAAAUCCGGAUAGAAUCGGGAAAAUCUGGAAAGUUCUGAUGCUAGACACCCUGACCUCAGUCGAGACCAUAGAAUGAGCGGAAUUUUCCGACUUGAAGUUUUUUUCGGAUACCUAAAGAAGCCGGGUGCUUAAAAUACGAGUAUGCCGGAAUCAAAUAUCACUAUGGGGGAUGUGAAAUAACGUGUGGAAAUUUACUCCACUCCUUCGGAAAAAAGUACCUCGGGUGACAUAAUAAAAAGGAACGGUUGUGGAAGUUCUUGAGAUUUGAGGGUUUAACUCUUCGGUAUUUCCGAAAAUUUGUACGGAUUAUAGAGUGUGAAUGCCUAACUCUUGUGGAAAAAAACUCGCAUGGCUUGUCUUUUUUAUUUAGAGCAAGUGGCAAUUGUAAAAUUCCAAAGAAAUGUUAAUGAUUCCUAAAUCAUUAGAGUGGAAAGGGUCUGUGAUAGGGAAAUCACCCUUGCUUUACAGAUGAGCAACAACAGGGAGUGAAGAUAAAUACAUAUCUAUCAAACUAUCAUACAUCACUUCCUACUUUAUGGAGAAAUGACUAAAUAAGCGCACUGAGUACCGGCUCCCCUCCCCUCAGGUUAAAAUUUCAAGUUCAUCUAUGCCUAACGCUGAGAACAAGCGUUGUUUUUCAUUUUGAUAGUCAAACUUUGUUAUUUGUUUAAAAGGAAUGGACAAGUUGUUUAAUGCUGACCUCUCCUCAACCAUUUCUGAGUGAGCAUCUAGGCUUGUGAAAAAAUUCUCAUAGAAACCUCUACCACUUGCUCCGAUAGAAUGAGAAAGCAAAGAAGAAGAAAUACUUAAUUUUAAAGUUUGGACUGUUACGUUUGUUCCUUUUUAUUUUUCAACACUCUAAACGAUCGAAGAAACUUAAAGUAAGUUGGAAGCUUCGCAUUAAUACCUUUUUAAAUCAUGUUUCUUUUCCUUCGUAUUACAUUGAAGGAGGACAUGAAAAGCGAAUUUAACUUUCGAUCGUUCUCUCAUAAAAGGGGCUGAUAGGUGUAAGAAGACAUUCCAAUAUAAAAUUUUUAUAAUUUUAUUUUAAACCAAGAGCAA